rnacentral:rRNA from 1 species
UACGUAGGAAGCAAGCGUUGUUCGGAAUUACUGGGCGUAAAGAGUGUGUAGGCGGUGUUCUAAGUUUGUCGUGAAAUCUCCCGGCUUAACUGGGAGGGUGCGGCGAAAACUGGAAUGCUAGAGGAUGGGAGAGGUAAGCGGAAUUCCUGGUGUAGCGGUGAAAUGCGUAGAUAUGUGGAGGAACACCUGUGGCGAAGGCAGUGGUCUGGGCCGGAACUGACGCUGAAUAGCGAAAGCGUGGGGAGCGAACAGG